AGGCCAUGGUGUGUACAGAUUCUUAACAACUCUUUAUAUCUCUCUCAAGCUUCAAAAAGUGAUUCUUCUUGGUUUUAAGUAAAUCUAGUUAUUUGGUUUCGAAGAAC